AUACGAAGGGGGCUAGCGUUGUUCGGAAUCACUGGGCGUAAAGCGCGCGUAGGCGGUCAUGCAAGUCAGAGGUGAAAUGCCGGGGCUUAACCCCGGAACUGCCUUUGAUACUGUCGAGCUUGAGUGUAGGAGAGGUUACUAGAAUUCUUGGUGUAGUGGUGAAAUACGUAGAUAUCAACAGGAAUACCGGUGGCGAAGGCGGCUAUCUGGCUAGACACUGACACUCAG
rnacentral:rRNA from 1 species